UUUGUGGCAGCAUAUCGGGCAGCACAGACUCACACCCUUCACAGAAUCCUGCCCAGCACAUCCCUUCCCAGCGCCUGUGCUGCCCAUCUCCUUCCCGCACACUCCUUCUGCACCCUCCCUGACAAACAGCAGCCAAACACUCACAAUGACAAAAGCACCAUGCAAACAGCACAUUCCUCACUCCGUAUUUAAGCAUGGAUGUACAACAGGAAAAGCUUCUUCCAUUUCUUUUUGAAGAACUUCUCACCAGUCGUCCCCUCAUCCACCUGGAUCAUAAAUCCGCAAGCCAUGAGUCUUUAUUAUUACUUUAAAAGCACUCUGUAUACCUUGUCUUGUCCUACAGUCAUCAGAAUGCCUACCCAGCAACAAUCACCAGUCUGGAAUUAAUAAAUCCAAGGAUUUGGAGGUUGCAAGAGUUGCUCCAAAUGUCUCAGCAGUGACAGAUAUCACCCCGCGGAACCCACAGCCUCGCAGCAUCGGGGCUACAAACCACACAGCCGCGUUACACCGCCUGUCUGCAGAGAGAACCGCGAUGCCCUACGUUAUUACUGCUCGGAAAUCUCCAUCCCAGCUUGAAACCUCCAAAGGCAAACUCCUCAGAGUCAAUUUGGAGUUCGAACAACCGCGCUCGGGCCCCGGUAAGGGCAGCAGCUCCGACUGAAACUUGUCCGCCGAGGCGCAAGCCCGAGCAGAGCCCGGUUCCCCCUUCCGCGCUCGGCGGGCAGCGCCCCGGGCAUUCCGCUGUGGGGCGGAGGGGCCGCCGAGCAGCCGCGGCCUCGGCCCCGAGCACGGCGGGGCCCGGGGAACGCCGUGAGCCCCGCGCUGUCCCCGGCGGGGCCGCGGGCAGCGCAGCCCGGCCCGGCGCUCGCCCGGGGGUCGCCGCCCCGUCCCCGUUACCUGAGGGCGGCCGCUUCCUGCUGAGCCGGCUCACGGCCCGGUUGAACAUCCCGGGCGCCGCUCGGCCCCGCUGCCGAGCCCGAGGGCGGCCGCGCUGCCCCGCCCC